AGCCAUUUCAGUGAAGCCAGAUGCAAAACAGCCCCUUAGCGGGACAUCGCUGUCAGAAAGAAAUAUCCUCCGAAUCCCCCGACGCAAGGCUGCCUCCUCCGCAGCGCUCGGAGGAUUCACAGCCUUCAAGUUAAGCAUAUAUGUAAAUAUUUGCAGUACCAAGGUCCUACAGGAUGGCAGUUAAUCAUAGGCAAGACCCGGCAAGCAUACCUCUGGGUCCUGCUAAAUUAUAUUUUGCCUAUCAAAAAAAGAUUUUUUUUUUUAAAGCUACAUAUACUAGGCUUUCAUUCAUGUUAUAUAAAGCAUGCACUUUAAAUCCUGGGAAAAUUAAUAGCGACACACGCUAUAAAUCCAGGCUGAUUUAGUGACAUUGCCAAUGUUUUCUCUAAGCGUGCAACACGAAUUCACAGCUAUGAAAAUGCACUAUGAAAGCCUAAGAAAUUCUGAAAAGCAAUUGAAAAGCACUUUCCCGGAGGACCCCGUGGAAGCAGCACCCCGCAGGACGGCUCUCCGGCGAGCGGCGCGAGGCGUGGAGGGCCGCGGAGCUGUUUUGAUAACCUCCUGCGAGAGGGACCUGCUGAACAUUAAUGGUUACUGCAGAUUUCUGAUGAAAAAUCACUUUGCAGAAAGUAACCUGCACAACUCCAGACCUGGUAUGAACUGCCGCCUUGAUUUCUGCAGUAACAUCUCCCAACAAAGAGACACUGCUGUGUUGCAAUGCUGGAAGAACCCACAUCUGAUACACGAUUGUACCAUCUGCAGGUCUCUUAGGACUAGAUCUGACCGCAGCCGCCUGCCAUUGAGCAUGCAACAUGGAAAGACUGAUCACAGAGCCGCUGGGGUAUAACCCCCUUCUCUCCCCUCUCCUCCCUACUAUGGCUAGUAAACAGGUCACGCUAAUAUAUCAGAAACUGCAGGAAAGUUAAUUUCCAAAACAGGAAGUUUCACAGAUUCACAAUAAAGACUUCUUGCUCAGAA